rnacentral:rRNA from 1 species
UUGAGUGGCAAACGGGUGAGUAACACGUAAACAACCUGCCGUCUACUCUUGGACAGCCUUCUGAAAGGAAGAUUAAUACAAGAUGGCAUCAUGAGUCCGCAUGUUCACAUGAUUAAAGGUAUUCCGGUAGACGAUGGGGAUGCGUUCCAUUAGAUAGUAGGCGGGGUAACGGCCCACCUAGUCUUCGAUGGAUAGGGGUUCUGAGAGGAAGGUCCCCCACAUUGGAACUGAGACACGGUCCAAACUCCUACGGGAGGCAGCAUG